UUUUGAGGGGAUGACCCAGUCCCCCCUGGGGACUGAGACACGGCCCCAGNUCCUNCNGGAGGCAGCAGNGGGGAAUCUUCCGCAAUGGGCGAAAGCCUGACGGAGCAAUACCGCGUGAGGGACGAAGGUCUGUGGAUUGUAAACCUCCUUUGUUGGGGAAGAUAAUGACGGUACCCAACGAAUAAGCAUCGGCUAACUCCGUGCCAGCAGCCGCGGUAAGACGGAGGAUGCAAGCGUUAUCCGGAAUUAUUGGGCGUAAAGCGUACGUAGGCUGUUUCAUAAGUCUGUUGUCAAAGCCCGAUGCUCAACCUUGGAUCGGCAAUGGAAACUGACUCACUAGAGUACGGUAGGGGUAGAGGGAAUUUCCAGUGUAGCGGUGAAAUGCGUAGAGAUUGGAAAGAACACCAGUGGCGAAGGCGCUCUACUGGACCGUAACUGACACUCAGGGACGAAAGCUAGGGUAGCGAAAGGGAUUAGAUACCCCUGUAGUCCUAGCCGUU
rnacentral:rRNA from 1 species